ensembl:snRNA U2 U2 spliceosomal RNA
AUCGCUUCUCGGCCUUUUGGCUAAGAUCAAGUGUAAGUGUCUGUUCUUAUCAGUUUAAUAUCUGAUAGUUCCCUAUAAGGGGAUCAUAUAUUAAGUUGAUUUUUGGAUCAGGGAGAUGGAUUUUGAGCUUGCUUUGUCCACUCCACACAUCAUCCUGGUAUUGCAGUAUUUCCAGGAAUGGUGUCCUUUCU